rnacentral:rRNA from 1 species
AGAGCGAACGCUGGCGGCAGGCCUAAAACAUGCAAGUCGAACGAACCCUUCGGGGUUAGUGGCGGACGGGUGAGUAACACGUGGGAACGUGCCUUUUGGUUCGGAACAACUCAGGGAAACUUGAGCUAAUACCGAAUGUGCCCCUUCGGGGGAAAGAUUUAUCGCCAUUAGAGCGGCCCGCGUCUGAUUAGCUAGUUGGUGAGGUAAAGGCUCACCAAGGCUACGAUCAGUAGCUGGUCUGAGAGGAUGAUCAGCCACACUGGGACUGAGACACGGCCCAGACUCCUACGGGAGGCAGCAGUUAGGAAUCUUGCGCAAUGGGCGAAAGCCUGACGCAGCCAUGCCGCGUGAAUGAUGAAGGUCUUAGGAUUGUAAAAUUCUUUCAGCGGGGACGAUAAUGACGGUACCCGCAGAAGAGCUCCGGCUAACGUUCGUGCCAGCAGCCGC